AAUAUUAUCAAAUAAAUGUAGAAGAAGAAUUCAAAGCGAUCAGAACCUGUCGGAACUUCAAUGUAACAUCGAAUUAAUUUAGUGGAUUGGCAGACCAUUGAAUUUCUAUCAUCACAUCGCUUUUAAUCCUUUCUCCGUUAUUUAAAGAGAAAAAUCCAUGAAAUUUCAUGCUAACAAAUUUAAAAAAAAUAAUAAUAAGAAAAGAGUAAGCUCAGAACUUCUUAGAGGGUUGUGUGACCGUCACCGGAUGGUCCUCUGGUACACAAAAUAAUGUUCAUCAAC